UGGACCAGUAGCUCAGUUGGAUAGAGCAACGGUUUCCGGAACCGUGUGUCGGGGGUUCGAGUCCCUUCUGGUUCGU
rnacentral:tRNA from 2 species